CCUCUCGCGGGAGCGGCGAGACUGUGCGGGUUUCCCGGGGAAGCGGCGGUCCUGGGUUCUGGUGUGCGACUCCUAAUGUGUGCUGCACGUUUGCAUGUGGGUGGGGAUGGGCGCUGCUCCACUUCGCCCUGGGUUCUCCGUCUGCAAAGAUAAAGACUCUUGAACUCUUGGUGCUGAGUUUUCACCGUUAGGGGGCUUUAUUUUGGCCCUCUGUUUCCUUCAUUUGAGCACCUGGUGGUGGAACCAAUUUUUUUAAAAACGAAAUUAUUUGAAAACGCGUGUUGAAGGGAACAGAAUGAGAGGGAAAAGGGAGGAAUUCUUGGAAGCUUGCCUGAUAACCUCGAGGAGUUCUCCAUUUUCUAGAUCGUGGCAAAAGACAAGAGUCUAUCAAAGAAACACCUGAUAAACAGAAGAAGGAAAUGGCCAAACAGAAGGCUUCCCGUGAAACCAAAAAACAGAAAUUGGAAGGAUUGCCUAUGUUGACUUCAAGUCACAGGCUGAUACAGAGCAAGCCGUAGAAGAGAAGCAAGGAACAAAGACCGGUGGGCUUGCCAUAGUUCUGGACCAUGCUGGAGAGAAAAGUCAAAGCCAAGAAGAGAGAGGCAGGAAGAACAGAAUGUGUAGAAUGGGAAAAUGAAAGCUAGAACAAGAAAGCCACACGUUUCAAGAAAAAUGGGAGCGAGCUUAUUUCUUUGUGGAGGUCAAGAAUGUUCCUACGUGUUUAAUAUGCAAACAGAGUGUGUCUGUGUCGAAGAAACUUAACCUCAGGCGCCAAUAUGAAACAAACCAUAGUAGGAACCACGAUGGAUAUACAGAAGAGAUGCAUGAUAAAAAAGCGAACUGAAAAAAAGACUGAAAUUUCAACAUGACUUAAUUUUGAACAUGAAUAAAAUAAAUGACGCUGCUAUGAAAUGCAGUUACAUAUUAAGUGAGAAAAUUGCCCCGGCAUCAAAACCUUUUACAGAUGGCGAGUUUAUAAAGGAAUGUCUGUUGAGUGCAGUGGAAAUUAUGUGCCCUGAACAGAGACAAGCAUUUGCCAGUCUAAGACUAGGUGCUGAUACUGUUUCGCAGCAUGUGGGCCACAUGGCAGAGAACUUACAGGACAAGCUGCAAGAAAAAGCUAAAUCAUUUGUGGCUUUCUCCAUUGCUGCUCCUGAAAGGGCUGAUGGAGGUAAUCCCUCCCCACCCCAGUUGGCUGUAUUUAUUCGUGGUGUUGAUGAGACUUUGGAUGUGAUGGAAGAACUUUUAGACGCAGUUUCCAUGACAGGCACUGCAUCAGGAAAUGAAUUACUUGUCUGCGUUGAGAAAAAUCUUAAAAAUUUUAAUGUAGACUGGUCACAGUAAAUGUUAGCACAGAUGGCAAUUCUACACUGGUUGGGGUUGAACAGCUUGUUACAAAACUUAAAUCUAGAGUGUCAGGGCUUUGCAAAGAUACAGAGCUCAGGUCCGUGCAUGGCCUCAUUCUCCAGGAAUCACUUUGUGCUAAAAAGUUAAAAAUGGAUCAUGUCAUGUACGUAGUGAUUCAUACCAUAACCUGGAUAUUUUCCCAUGGCUCAGACUGCAGCAAGUUCAGUGCUUUGUUCAGUGAGGUAGAUGCACAGUAUGGAAGCCCGUUCUGCCCCAUGGGAUGGAAAUGCCCAUUUUUUGAACUGUUGGAAGAAAUUGAUUAUUUUCAUGUCUUCUAAAGGAAAAUCGGCUCCUCAGCUUACUAGCAAAGAUUGGGUCAAAGACUUACCCUUUUUGGUUGACAUUAUGACUUACCUAAAGACAGUGGAUAUUUCCUUGCAAAGGCGUUCACAAGUGGUUACACAGAUGUAGGACUCAAUUCACUCAUUGCUAAUGAAACUGUGUCUUUGUGAAACUCAUUUGACAAAGAACAGUCUGGCCCACUUCCCUACGCUGAAAUUAGUUUCUGAAAAUGAAAGAGAUGGCCUGAACUAUAUUUCCCGAAUUAAAGAGUUGAAGACUGAAUUCCAAAAACGGUUCUCUGAUUUCAAACUUUAUGAAAAUGAACUGACAUUGUUCAGUUCACCUUUCUCAAUUAAUAUUAAUAAUGUGAGCGAGGAGCUACAAAUGGAAGUUCUUGAAUUGCAGUGCAACACUAUACUGAAAAUGAAAUAUGAUGGUGUUGGGAUCCCAGAAUUCUACAAUUAUCUUGGGAAUGGUUACCCUAAAUAUAAAAACCACUAUGCAGGGCAGCCCCAGUGGUGCAGCGGUUUAGCGCCACCUGCAGCCCAGGGUGUGAUCCUGGAGACCCUGGAUCAAGUCCCACAUCGGGCUCCCUGCAUAGAGCCUGCUUCUCCCUCUGCCUGUGUCUCUGCCUCUCUCUCUCUCUCUCUCUCUCUCUCUCUCUCUGUG